UGUUCAGUUCGUUCUCAGAGAGGUUUCCGUUUUAAACUGAAUGCGACUGAUCCUGAGAGAAAUGAUUUGGUAGGUUUAAAAUCCCUUAAAAUGGGUAUCAUACAUCUAAAUAUCAUCAACCCGUGAUCAGUGAACUGCUAAUGUUUCAGCCGGCCCAUCUCUCUGGUUGUUCUGGACCAUGGAAAAUUUGGGUGGAAGCUGUGAUGGGGGUGGAUAAAAAUGAAUGAGCAACACGACAGGAUGCCCACACGUCUCGAUUGUUGCUUCUCAAAUGAUUUCCACUUUGUUUUUUUUAGAAUUGUGCUAUCCUUCCUUUUCGUGCAUGCGUCUCACUUGCGAAGAAGAGGAAGGAUUUAUUCCCGAAUGGUUUCACGGCAGCUCUCAUACAUAAUUACGUACAUACAACAACCACAUUGAACUUGGUUGGCUGGAGGGUCGUUCUUUUGUGUUGUUAACUUCACAUUUUACCCACAAACACAAUUACUUUCGAGUAAAGUUAAGCCUGAUGGGAAGAAGAAAGUCUUCUGAGAGUUUCCGCUCAUGCUGUCGUUGAAGAUGAUGAGUUCUGGCUUCUACGUACACAUAGUUCCGAAAUUCGUUUACAUGGACUGUGCUGUAGCAGACAUGUACAUGUAUCAAGCAUUCUCGGGAUUUGAACUAUUAGUAUCUUCUAGAAAUUGAGAGGACUCUAAGAUGAGCAGAAGAACAUCUCCUUUACAUUUGAUUCGAUUUAAAUUUAUGCCGUAUUAGUACAUUCGAGUUUUAUUUCUGUGCAAUUAUCUCACGCAUGUUCGCUUUCAUACAAAUUUUCAUCCAUCCAUUUCCACGAACAUAGUGCAUUGGUGGGUAAUAACAAGACACUAACCCUGCGUAACCAAUAAUUAAGGUGAGUGCUGAAUGGGAAAAAAUAGCUCAUAACGUAGCAUCCGGUAAUUUACUUUCAAUUCUCCAUCACUAUUUUGUCCAUGGUUCCAGUAAGAAAAAUGAAUCCGGAGUAGGAAGAAAGGCCAUCCCAGAAACGGGGGCUAAUUAUGGAAAGGGGAAUCUCCCAUAAUUCGAUUUCACCCUCCUUUUUACCUGCCGCAGUUCCAGGCCGCAACACGGUGAAGGGUUGUCCUGCAGCACCUGAUUUAUUCACCGGAACUCCACCACCCCCUCUCUUUCUCCCAACAGCCCGAUGGAUUUAUUUCAAUUUAGCGAAUAUAUGGCAAUAGAAUAUGGUCAUGGUAUAUACUUAAACGUGGCAAAGUCUUCAUGCGACGCUAUAAAACCAACACUUGUGUCAAACCCAUCACACACACCUGUCCCCAUUCCAUUGUCAUUCAAAGUAAGCAAGUUGUUGUGCAUUGCGUAUGCAAAUUAAAGUGUAAAUAAAUACUACUAACGGUGCAAAAUAAGCUUGCAACCAGUGGAUGUCACAGAAAUAGAGACACCAAAACAUUGUUGCUGUUAGUUAAUAUUGCAACGGAAAGUGUGAAUUGCCGACUUUACAGCUUUACAAAUUGUACAUUGAAUCACUUUUCCAGAUGCAUAAAGUCGUGUCUGUUCUGUUGACUGAGAUUGAUACUGGGCUGUCAGGCACACUUUGCAUCUCAAUGAAUCUGCUUGUUUUGUUCUCCUCUCGAGGCGAAAACAUCAAUAACGAACAUAUUGAAUCAAUUUUAGAGCAAAAUUAUGGAAACCAGCAGAAAGAAACUAUGUUCUCGCUUUGCUGAACAACAUACAAAAAAUGCAUACUCCUCUUUUUUGGCUGGAAUUACAUCUUUUUUAUGCUAAACUUUUGGGGUUUUGCAUCAUUUCACUGCAUUGCAUUUGAUGUAUUCAGAACGAGUCGGAGCAAUGGAAUGAUAUAUGUGAUAUGAAGGUUGAUAAUUUAUGUGAGAACUUUAGGCAAUUGUACAUUCCGAUCCAGCCCACUUUCUGUGUGGUCAAUAUUCAAGGGAUAAAUUUGCUGAGGCGAAUCCAAAGUUUUGACCAUAUUCCUGGGAGGAACCGGAAAGAGAGAGCGAGAGAGCGAGUGUCUGGGAGUGAAAGCCAAUAAUAUCAUGUAUUCCGAGCUUAUGGGCCGAAUGCAUGGGUGGCUGAGACAAAAGGAGAUAGGAAUAAAUGAAACGAGGGGAAAAGAAGAAAGCUAGGCAAGCACGAAGAAGGAUGCGGAAAAGACGAGAAAGCAACUCUGGAUUUCAUCCUGAAAAGUAGUUUCGGUAACAAACCCAUAAAACAUCGUAAUGCUGAUUGUGAUUGCAAGGUGCAAGCAUCCCGACGACUGCCUGAACAGCUCACAUAAAUGAAAGAUUGCUUCCACCUUCCUCAGCAACGACCUCCUCCCUCGUCCAAGGGGGAGAAAUACAAAUAGAACAAACCGGGCUUCAAGCAGGACACUGGCCCAGAGACCUAUGACUUGCUAUUAGCAGUCAUCAUGUUAAUAAUAAUACGUACAUAGAAAUGACUACUUUUAUAGUGUCAAAACUUUCCAGUUUCGUCAAUUUGUCUUGAUUUUUUUUACAACUCAUUUUAGAAAUGGAAAGUGUAAUUUUAUCAAAAUUAUGAAAUCUUUCGUAAAGAAAGGAUUAAACUCAUUAGAUCACUGACGAUAUCAAACUUUAUUGGAGCACAUGUGACAUGGAGUACGGCCUGUUGAAUUCUAUGAUUAUAUUCUAUGAUUUAUAAACUAAUAAAAGUUUAACAUUGGUUGUAUAAAAA